CCUGUCCCCGAGGCUCGCCCGGGAGCCGGGCCCAGGGAGAUCGCCGCGCCCUGAGCUGGUCCCGUACGCGUGUCAAGCCCAGACGGUGUUGUGUCAAAACGGCCGGGGUCGGUUCUGAUCUGGCAAAUGAAAUACUGUGGUGGCUGCCAGAUGGACUUCAGUGGAGCUCCAGGAGAGACCUCCCUUUCUUUGGGGUACUCUAAAGUAUUCUAAAACUUCUGAGAUGGAAAAAUCCAUAGGAGACAGGUGUUGGUGAGUGCACCAAUGGUAAAAUCUUUUUCAUUUCUGAAGGUAAGUUUUCCUGGUGGAUUCUUUUCUACUGUUCAGCAGGACCUCCUGCACCUCCCUGGAACAGGAGAGCUCUAUCUCUGACAACCAUCCAGGUACCAGGCUUUGAGUCAGAGUUUUGAGAUAGGGGUGAAGAAUGUUCCCUGUGUCCCACAAGAGAAGGCUGGGCAUCAAUGGUAAAUUGAUAGCCAGUCAAGAGGAGUGGUGAAGGAGAUAAGGGAACCAUACUUAUCUUGGCCAGGGUGGUGCAAUCAAAAUGCCUGUGGCUCUGUCCUGUCUGGUUUUGUUCAGGUCCCUGAGGAUUAGCAGCAUUGGAGGAAAGACAUGUAGAAGGUUCUUCGACCAUAAGAGGAGAAAGUCAAGCCCCCAAGAACGAUGACCCAGACCUCCCCUCGAGCAGAAGUUCAUGAAUCUUCAGCUGGGAACAAUGGCAAAGAGAUCUAUUGCUGGAAAACCCCAGGAAGAAGGACUUUGUGGUGCUGAGCUGAAGACCGAGCCUUGCAAAUAGAGAGAUGACAUUAAAACUCAGAUGCACAUAUCCAACAAGUCAAGUGUUGCCCUAGAAUACUUCAAGGAAUGUACUGACUCCUCCGUGGUCUCGCUGAAUAAUUUGAGGCCAUUAAAAGGGAGGUCCUUUACAGUGUCUUGGAUGUCAUAUAGGAAACCUGAGGAUUGCAGCCACCAUAGCUGUGGAGAUGGAAUGAGCUGCCAUGUCAGUUGCAUCAACAGAAGCCUGUAAAGUCAUCCUGGCCAAGCGAUACCCCUCAUUAAUGAUAGCCUGAAAUGGCUGCCAGUGUUUCUGGGGAGAUGCUCUGUAAAAGACUUCAUAUAGAUUUCAUAGACUAUGUGAUUAUAUUUUCAAACUGGGAUCCAACAUAAAAAUAUUCUCCGAUCUAUUUUCUUCAGCGUGAGAAGGAUGUACUACACUAAGGAUAAACUCUUCCAUUCCUGUGGAAACACACUGAACAACUA